ACCCUCCUGCAGAGGAAGAACUUCAAUCAGUAAAGUACACAGAGAUGUGGAAACAUAUCCCAAGAAAGGGGGAGUCACAGAACGAGGGCAAAGUUUGGUUUAUUACUGCGAAUAUCAUACUCCAUUUGAGGCUCCCAUACCAGCGUCUGUGAAGGAAAGGCCCAUCUGGUAGGUGGAGCUUCUGAAAUCUUGACCACCAUGGACGGUGGCAGUCUCUUUCCCCGCUGUGCCAGGUGUAUGGUGUUCCUAAGGGAGCUUGGGACCACCAGGUCACUUAAGGAGGGAUGAACCAGCCCAGUUCAGGAACAGUGCCAUGUUAACUGCCAACUCCCCCAUGCUCCCAUUGCAGACUCCCACUAAACCAUGCCCCCACCUCCCACAGAGCUCAAAGCUACAAAGGUUUCUGGAUGAGAGAGAAGAGAUAAAGUCUUCUCAAAACUGUUGUUAUGCGGUCCAACACUACAUCAAUAAUAUAAAAAUGAGUUCUAUUUGCAUGGUAAGACUGAUAAUUUCCUUGUUUUUUUCAUAUCCAUGCACAACCAGGUGAAAACUGGGGUACUUCCAUGUUUAUUUUAGGCCAGCUGGAAGCUAGAAGCCAGCUGUAUCUUUCAUUAGAAUUGUUUUCUUCAGACAAAGAGUCUAAAGACGGGCGAAGCAAGGUGAAACAUCUGAUUAGGUUGCAGAGUUGUAACUGAAUAUAAUGAUGAGGAGCAGCAACAAAUUAAGGACGAACACACAGUAAGCAGAAAGUGCAACAGCCAGGAUGUGAACAGAAGGAGCAGGUGUGGGCAAACCAUUUCACCACUAACAUGUUUCUUAGCAAAUUAGAUUACUGUCUAUGGCAGUAACCAUGUGCUGAUAUUCUGAAAAACACCCAACCACAGUUGGGUCUCCAACCACAGAUUCUUCCCUCUGAAUCCCUGCUGAAAGAUCAAGCUUAGUCUGACCAGCUAAUGCUAAUAAUGCGACAUCAUAGACACCUAAAUUGUAACAAAUCUCAAACAUUUACUGACCCAGAUAGUCAGUACUAAGAAAGCUGGAAAACCAUCUGGCAAAGAUGGUCUACUAGUUGGUCCAGCCUGGUCAGUGGCUGGUCAGACCAAGGUGGAUUUUUCAAAGGGAAAUAUAAUUCUAUUUUUGAAAGCAUUUUACAGAAUUAGCACUAAAUUAAAAAAAUUAAUAAGCAUAAAUAUCUUUAAUCAGAUAAAUAUUUAUUGAUAGAAUACCACAACUGCCCUUAGACUUCCAAUACAACUUAAUUUGGAGUAAACAGGUUUUCCAGGUUUUGUUUUGUUCUAGGUUUUCUGUCUAUGGUAAUAACUGUACUGUAUUAGGAAGGUGUUAAGUUAAAAAAAGCUGGAGUAUUCCUGUAACUGCACUAAAGGUCAGAUUUGUCAAGAGCUUGACUGUCUCUGUAUACACAAUAUACAUCAUCAGUACGGGAACAGUGUGAACUAGCAAAGGCAAGAAAAAUCACUAGCACAUAUGAAUGUCACCUAGUACUUCUUGCUACUUGGGAACAUUCUGCAUUAAAUCCCUUCUCUGGUAUGUAAAAUCAAGAGUAAUAUUGUAAUGUACAGUUGUUACAAUGUAAAGAACCACCAAAUAAAUUAUUAUAGUCGUUAUUUUGGUUUCGCCCUAAUCACAGCAGGCUGUAAUGACACACAGUAUAAUGACAAUACAUCGUUACAAUACAUUUGUAUAGGUGACUGGAUUUGUUCCCAAUCAGUGUAAUUGUGAGUUAGUGCUGCUUGGCGCUAUCAGCAGGGUUGGACACACACGCAGAGCCAAUUACAGCAUGAAGAGGGGUAAGCUUUGAGUCAUUAACAGUGCUUAACACCAGACAGUGCUCAAGUGAAUUAUUAAAGUCCUGAGUCUCAGCACUUUGCCUCAGCAUUUACUGCUCUCAUAGAGCUCGAUUCAGUAUCAGCAAAUCACAGUGAACGCCUUGCAGUUUUAGCCAUUACAGAAACACACACACACACACACACACACACACACACACACACAUACAAUGAAUUACAUUUUAUAGAGUAGCCUAACUUGUUGCUUAUCUAAAACACUGCUGAGAUGUGAUUUUGUAUCAACUUCUUCAUAAGAAGUGACAUGCAACAAUUUCAUCUCUGUUGAAGCAUGUCAAUAUUUAGUUUGAACAGACAACAAAAAUCUUUCUUUGACCUGUCUACUACUCUGGCCUCCUUGUGUGAUGGCUCACUGACUGACAGCUCCACACACACUGUCUUACUAUCCUUGGGAGGAGCUUCCAUUGCCAUAAUUAUUAAUGCAGUGGUUCCCAAACUUUUUGGGCAAAAGACCCCAAAUGGAUAUUAUGAAUUUUUUGCGACCCUAAGCCUUGAACACCCUAUAUAUCUUUUUAAUUCCAGAUUUAUAAUAUUUGGACUACUGUAACAUUUGGACAUUUUAUUAUGUCAGUAAAAUGUGUACUGUAUGUGACUAAACCAUAGGUGUAUUCCUUGCACUGACUUGCCAGUCUAGUGGGAAGGGUGAACUUGCAUUUCUUGACACAGCUUUUCAAAAAGAUAGGAGGUAUGUUUGAAAGGGUGCAUCUCUUUCCACUGUCACAUCCUAAGAAAUAAAACACGCAAACCAAUGAUAUGGCCUUGAUUCGACACAUGACUUCGCUUCCACAUGCAGAAGCAGCGGCAACGUGUGCAUCAUUGUUCACACACUCGCCUGCGUACCUUAGGUACAUUAUGAUGAAUAAAGGUGACAUUGACAAGAUGGCAUUUGCUGAUACUGACGAGCUCUGUUAAAACCUUCAUUUAAAGCUCAAACACUAACUGUAAUAGGAAAAAUGCUUCAUGUUUCCACUCAAUAACGUUUAGUACAUAAAUAUGCAAUUUGAGACAUAACACUAGUUUAUUUAGGGCAGGUUGAUGGAUAGGGAAAUUUGUCCAUUUCUAUUGUUGAUUUCUUUCACUAGUGCAGCAUGUCAGGAUAGUGAAAAGACAAAAGUAGCACAUACACUCUUCAUUUAAAAUAGUAGCACACAAAAUCCAUCUUCUUAGCUAAAGUGAUAUUGCUAAUAAGAAUUUCUAAAAUAAAUGAAUAAAGCAAAAAGAGAUUCUAAGUUUCCCUUUUGACCCCAUUUGUAAAUCAAGCAACCCCUCUAUUAAUGCAAUUAAUCAAUGCUAUGCCUACAGCUAACCUUACACUCAGUAACCAAAAGGAAGUUCUUUUAGUUUCUUUUAGUUGAGCUGCUGUUUGUUUUUGUAAACUGUCAUAUAUUUCAAUCCUUGUGGUUACAUUUGGUCCCCGCCAAGAUAUAAAAAGAUGCCCACAGACAGAUACACACAUAUACACUCACAAAUCAAUAAAUUUUUCUCCUAUGCCUAAAUAACAGUGAAUUACACCUUGCUCAAAGUCAUACACAGAGACACACACUAGCUUACUAAAGCUGCUUCUGUAAAUCAAUACGCUGUUCCACUGCCUUCUGCUUGGCUGACUGACAAGCACCAAGGUUACUGGGCCAGAACACAGGAAGAGCUAUGGCUUCUGAUUUAUCAGGCAACCUCUGUGGUCUGUGCGCUUACCAUGGGCAGUUACUCAUGCGAUUUCAUCCCCACCCUCUCAAACCUUUUGUGUUCCUCUCAGGAAUGCACCCAUACUCAUUAAGGGUAGGAGGGUGGGAGGAUGACUAGUGGAGUGAGAUAAUGUGAGAGGAGGGAGAAUGUAGAUGGCCUGUUAUACCGUCGUUAGACUCAUUAGGAUGAUGACCUCUUACUCAGAGUGCCUUCAGGUUGCCUAGCACAGGACCUCAUACAAUGUGGAAUUUGCUCAUUAGUACGUUAUCUAUGUGACCUCCUAAUGGCAGGAGUCUGUUUGCUUGAGUGUGUAUAUGUGUGUGUGUGUGAGAGAGAGAGUGUAUGUGUGUUUGCAAACAUUUGGCUUCUGUGUGUGCAUAUGUCUGUACAAGUGCAUGAGACAUCUGGUGCUCCAGUGGGAAAUGUUCAUCUUGGUUGGACUGGUGUCAGAUGUGUGCUAUUGAGGACUUAAUAAAGCAAAAUUAAAGAGCUGUCAGAGCAGGGGGGAGCCUGUGCUAGCCGGCUGGUUUUAGAGAGAAUUCCUAGUAAGUUUGAAAAUCUCAGCAUUCUCUGACAGUCAGUCCUCUCUGCUCCUUUCUCCCGUUCGUAACUUAAUUACAUCAUCAGAGAACAUUAGGCAUGUUCGCUCUGCUGUGACUGGAAGAGGCACAAAAGAAUGCUAAAAAUAAUACUACGUAUCCAUCAAUCUUGAUGGGAGCUUUUAUUUUGUGUGACUAAAAUCACAGUUUAAUAGUCAUUAUAAAGUCAUCUAAAAAUACAAAAUACAGACAAAAUCCAAUCUGCUGUGUCUCCUCUUCUGUGACUAGAUGAGACAAUCAUUAAUGUCCUGUAUUCUUGGUUUGUGGAUAACCCAUAAUUACCCAGGGCUAACAUUUUUUCUUAAAGAUAGUGCUUAAAUAGGGCUACAUACAUAAGCCCAUCAUGACAUCUGACAUAAAUCUAUGUAAAUAUUUUCAUGCAGGGUGUUUUUAUGCUUGGUCCAAAUAUUCAAGGGCAGAUUCUGGGCUCACUAGUGCAGGUUUGCAAUUCACAUAGAAUUCACACACUCCAAAACACGGAUCAAAUGAGCAAUUCCAUAAGUCACUGUUGUGCACACAGGUUUGCAAAAUAGUAGACACUAAGUUCAUCCAUUUGCUGUUUUUUUAAUUAUUAUUUUCCUUUUCUACAAAUGGCAAAGAGCAGCGCUCUUCGGAAGCAUGGCAUGUCAUCAUGCAAGAAUACCUCCAAAAGAAGGAGCAGUUCUCAUGCAAGAAGAUUUUUAGCCAUGCAGCUCGGCAUGAGUUAAUUUUUUGUGAUGGUCUCAGUGCAAGCAGUAAAAACCACGAAGGUGGAACUCAGUGACCUCCCUGGACGACAUCCAGAUCACACCAUCUGACAUCGUACACAGCCUUGGGGUUGUUCUGGACAACCAA